AUGGAAGACUCUCCUGCUACUUAUAUCCACUUGGUGCACCGUUUGAUAGAAGAGUGUAUGUUAUUCAACAUGAGCCAAGAAGAAUGCAUGGAGGCUCUUUCCAAGCAUGCAAAUAUCAAACCAGUUAUCACCUCCACUGUUUGGAAAGAGUUAGAGAAAGAGAAUAAGGAUUUAGAUAAUUUCAUACGCAAAUUAAUAAGGGACAAAAUAAUAUUGGACCAUGGAACAACAUAG